AAUGUAAAACCAUUUAUGUAUUGUGUAACAAAAAAAAAUCCAUUCCAUUUUUUUUAAUUACAGAAAAACCCUUGACUUUUUAAUUUCGUAGAACAGCUUUACCUCACGCAAUCGUCUUCACCUCAAUUUCUCCUUCUUAACUUCAUUUAUGGAGAUACGCAAGCGAACGUCUUCUUCUUCCUCAUGGGCGACUGAUUGCAUCGGGUGGCAGUAACAGGCAGCAUCAACCCCAAGUUUUUUUCUUACUUCGUUUCUUCAUAGAUUUUCUGUCCGGCAUCAACCCCAAGGUGGAGGUGCAUAUCAAAUUGGUGGAUUAUUUCACUUUUUUCCCUUUCUUUUGAGUAAACAAUUGGUACUUGGAGGAUUUGAACUGAGCUCAUGCUACCAUGACCAACCAAAUUGACCUGCAAGCAGCGAUGGACCAGAUGAGAUUAAAAUCUUACCAUGGCUUUACCAUACUACUCAAGAUCUUAAACAGCACCACUAAAACCUUGCAGAAUUCAAAUAUAACCUUCUUCAUGCCUACUGAUCAGGAACUUUCUCAAGCUGAUAUCUCUCCGGACCGACUCAAAGACUUCGUUUUGAGCCAUUCUAUCCCCACAGCAUUACUACUCAACAACCUUUUACACUUCCCAAAUGGCAGCUUGGUUCCAUCAAGCAUCCCAAACAGAAUGAUCAGAAUAACAAACUGCAGAAAGAUGGGUGUGUGCGUAAACAAUGCACGAAUCAUUACCCCCAACGUGUGCUUAACCUCGUCUAUAAGAUGUCAUGGUAUAAGCUCAGCGAUUUCAUAUGACAAAACUUCGGCCUUUUCAGAUACUUUACCUGCUAAGCAAAGUUCAGCUGACAUUAUAGUUCAAAGGAAUGAAAUGAAUGGAGCAAAAUCUUCAGAGUCUGGAGCAAUGAAGAAGAACCGUUCACUGCACUGAACCCAUCCAACUCCUAUCAACAUAGCUUUGUUCAUUCAAAUAAAUACCCAGCUUUUGUCAGCAAUUCUCUAGAUGAUAGUUCCUUCCUAGUUUUAAGCAACCUUUCUAAUAAGACAUUGUAUUUUGUUGUAAUGGGUACGGGAAUUUUCUGUCUUUUUCCAUGGCUUAAAAAGUUUUAUACUAUGCUCUUGAAACCACUCGACAAUGAGCCAACUAGAAAUGUGGAACAUGAUUGUUUAGGCAGAUGGAUUUUAGUCCAAGAAAACGCAUCUCUUCGCUCCUUC